UGUGGAUCGAUGAUGAUGUAAUUGUAACUGCGUUAUCUUUCUUGAACUUCCCAAGUAUUGAAGAAGACAUUACUUACUGAGAUCCAAG
rfam:Brachypodium distachyon strain Bd21 chromosome 2, whole genome shotgun sequence.